rnacentral:lncRNA from 10 species
GAGGAAUGCAGCCAUUGGCAGACUGUGAUGAGGCAGGGAGGAAGUGGGAAUGGGCUGGGGGAGACAAAUGCUCUGACGAUACCCUCCUGGAGCCUUCUCAUCUUCUGCUGGCCCUGCAUCGAUUGGACACAAUCAAAGCCAGAGAUUAAGGUCAGCCUUCCAGACACAGAACACAGCAGAGAAGGGCAGAGAAUGGAUCUGGGUUCGGGGAGUACAGUGUCCAGCGCAUAGUAGGUGCUCAAUAAAUGCUUGCUAAAGUGCAUUGAGCUGACUUGGGAAUGGCUCACACAAAGACAAAAGGCAUGUUCUACCAUGGCACUUAGCUGCAAGGUGGGGAGCUGCAUAUGUACAUCCUGAGCUGCUUUGCCACUGCUGUGAAAGCAGAGAAGGGUUGAGUCCCUGGAAAAGGAAUUUGGGUAAGUGCAUGGGAGGAUGGGAGGAAGCAGAGAGAUGCCCGUGAGUGUUCCAGGCUGUGGACUUUGAUGGGCAGCCAAGAUGAGACUUUUCAGGGGCAAUGAGACAUUUGUUCAGCAAACAAACCUGGGGCAGAACCUCAAUGUUAAAAGCUCUGUUAGAAAUCAUCUGAUAGAAUUCCCAACAUGUGACAUCAUAGUGUGGGGUUGAGGUGGGAGGGCAGGACGGAUGACUGUAAAGCACCAACAUAAAGCUGGUGAUCCAGUAUAACAUGCUAAUACCUCAGGGGAAAGAUAAAUUGCAAGACAGGGUGAAAAAAUUCAGGGAAGGGCUCUGAUUGGCCUGGCUGAGUCCAGUGCCUAUCCCUUCUACCAAUCACAGGCCAGAGGGUCUCUUGCUUCUUCCUGUACCAGUUACUAGAAGAGGUGGCGGAAAGGUUGCUGGGAAGACAGAAACUAUGUGUUUUGAUAUUUCUAACCAUUCCUGUUAGUCUGGAGCCAGUAUCUGAAUCUUGUUUUUCACAGAUGGCAUUGCAAAGACAGCAUACCUGAGGGAUAGUUGAGGGUUCUCAGGGGCCAUAAAAUGCUACAGGCAAGAAAGAUGUGGGCUUUCUUAAACGAUUGUCUGAAAAAACAGAGGGAACACAGGGAAUGCACAGAAUGCAUUCUGGGCUUUCUAGCUAUUAUGCCUUAAGGCAGUGGUUCUCAAAGCAUGUUCUGGGGAGCCCUGGGAGAUUCUGAGAUUUCUUUCAGAGGGUCCUCAAGGUCAAAACUAUUUUCAUAAUAAUAUUUGCUUAUGUUAUUUGCUUAUGUUACUGUCAUUGACUCACCGGUGUACGGUGGAGGAGAAUGAAAUGUUCCAGGGGAUGCCUGGCAUGUGACGAUGCUACAGAUUGAAUGCAGAAGCAGGCACGAGAACCCAAGUCUUCUUCGAAGCUAGUCAUCAAAGAAGUCUGCAAGAAUGGAAAACAGUGCCACUCUUCUCACUAUUUUUUUUGGAAAAUAGUUAUUUUAUGUAAAAAUAGAUAUUUAUGUUAAUAUGCAAUGAGUUUAUUAGUUACUUUAAAGAUGAAUUAGUGUGUACACUUGUAGAGAUUUCUCAAUUUUAAUUUCUGAUAUGGCAAGUAUUGACAGAUGUUACCUACAUAAACAAGAGCUCUUUGGGGUCCUCACUCAUUUUUAAGACCGUGAAGUCAUCCCGGGAUUAAACGUUUGAGAAUCACUCACUGCCUUAGGGUAAUGUUAAGUCCCUGGCAAUGAACGGGGGAAGGGAAUUUACCUUUUUUCUGCUUGCAUCUUCGUUUUAAUACUGAAGUUAUAUUGAAUGAAUGAUAGUACUUCUCAUCCUGUGGAGAUAGCCCCAUGGAGACAGGAGAAUGUGCAGCGAAUAGUGGAAAGAUCAUGCAUGAAAUUUAGUCAGACAGUCCUGUCUUUAACUUAAAGUUCCUCUGGGCAAGUGAUUGUGAUCAAAUUACUUGCUAUUUCUGAACUGCAAUUUCUCAUUGGUAAAAUGUAGAUGGUAACAGCUACCCAACUCACUGAAAUUUUGUGGAGAUUAAAUGAUGUGUUUGCGAAACCAUCAAACCUGUUGCCAGGUACGUAACAGGUGCUCCAUAAAUAUUAGCCUCCCUUCCUCCCUCUCAGGGUGCUCCAAGCGCAGUCCUUUUAGAGUCACCAAUAGGAAUUCUUGUCUGAAGUGGUUCACAAACAUAGUUCAACCUGGUCUCUGGCC